rnacentral:rRNA from 1 species
UACGUAGGGUGCGAGCGUUGUCCGGAAUUAUUGGGCGUAAAGGGCUCGUAGGCGGUUUGUCGCGUCGGGGAGUGAAAACCCAGGGCUUAACCCUGGGCUGGCUUCCGAUACGGGCAGACUAGAGGUAUGCAGGGGAGAACGGAAUUCCUGGUGUAGCGGUGAAAUGCGCAGAUAUCAGGAGGAACACCGGUGGCGAAGGCGGUUCUCUGGGCAUUACCUGACGCUGAGGAGCGAAAGCGUGGGGAGCGAACAGG